ensembl:snRNA LOC120100216 U7 small nuclear RNA
AAUUUCUUUAUAGCUCUUUUAGAAUUUUUCUAACAGGAUUUCUGACUUGGUCAGAAAAUCCAAG